CGCGCCUUUAUUAAUGGCUAGCGCAUAACUAAUUUACCGUAAUAAACAGAAAAAUACAAUUAGACCAAUCCUACUCAGCCAUGAAUUGGCCAUCGACUUGAUAUAUCUCCUUCUACUCAAAUGGUUGACGAACGCCGGUCGCCAACAACGUAGAAUAGAAAAAGGAGUGAACUGGCAACUCUGAUCUUGCAGCGAGGUGUUGAGGAGGAGCGCUCAGAGCCCACCCAGAUGAAGACACUCGAGUUCAGCCGAUACCUUGUUCCCGAGAGAACGCGAAUAUAAAGUUCUUGUUGACAUCUUAGCCUGUGCGGAAUUUGAAACUGUCAUUAAAACCCCCUUUUCCUAGAGUGCUCGGAAACGUUCCGUCGCAGUGACAGGCGAGCACCUAACAUCCCCUUCUUCAAAGGGCGCGGGCACCGCAAGGGCGCGUCGAUGGGACAUCGUACGUCGGAGAGGCUCGGACUCGACGACGAUGGACGAAAACCAACACCAGUACGGUGGCCCACCAAGCCCGAGAUCACAAAUGAAUUUGCUAAUGACCAAGAGAUAGAAAACGGACUAGAAUUCGAAGUGGUCGAGUUAAUGGCUUCCUACAUUCUGAGUGGUUCUGGGACCUCAGACGAUCCGCUUGAUUUGAACGACCUUUUGUCUGGGGAUCCAGAAAUUGAUAGUCUUAUAACCAGCAUUCAACAUGCUGCCAAUGGUACAGGGCCCAUGCAAAACAACACUCCAUUAGACCACACUGUUGCAACACCAUCGAGGACCAAUGGAACCAGGAGAACCUCAGACUAAUGCUAUGUCUGCGCAGCAAGUACCUGGCAUUGACAACUCUGAGGUCCAAUCAACAUCAGACGAAAACAGUGGUGCGGAGGAGAGAGAUGCAAGUGGACCCAUAUCAUCAGUUGAUGGAAAUGAUGGACCAUCAGCAUCUUCAACCACGUCCCUAAAGCGAAAGAGGGAAGAAGAAGAUUCUGACCAUCAGGUGGAAGGUAUGUCUGCUACAGCAGGCACCACAGGUGAGACAUCAUUUGACAAUUGUCCCUCCCCACCUUACAGGGAAUAUCAUGGCGAUGGAAACACUAAUCAAGGCGAAAGUCAAGGAUUGAUUCAAGGACACCGCCUUGAUCAAGAUACAAACAACCAAGUACCCAAGAGGCCCGCAGAGAGGGAUCUCCUAAACCAAAUUUCCAUCCAAAAAAAUCAAAUUAGGUGACUUCGGUCACAAAAUAAGGCGUAGGGAAUUGGCGACCCCACCGCCCACUACUUGAGAGGUAGUGCAGUCAGCUAGGUGUUCCCUUCCACCUUGAAUUGGGCCACUCUGGAUUGCAUGGACAGCGAUGCCAAGGGUAGCAAUGCUUCAGCUCAUAUACUGUACAAUCAUGGCAUUACAUUUACUGCAGCCAUGUAACUCCUGGCAUCUUUGUCCCUGCUCCUCUGGAUACACAGAGAUGCUCCGCUAAUUGAAAGCGACCAGUCAGCCUAGCGUUUCCAAGUAUCCAGAGGAACCUUAGGUCUUAAAAAAAAAAAGGGAGAACUUGUUGUGCGAGAGGACGUCAUUCCGCUUCACAACACUCAAAAAAAAAUAAACUGACAAACUUCCUUCCCUAUGUUCAAAUGCAUUCAGAAUAUGUGAUUCUUACGAUCCUUACUGCUGUAAGUUUCUCACCGAAAUUUACACAAAUAGCAAGUACAUUACUGUACAUACAUUAUAAGGGUCAUUCAGAUUUAUAAACUUAUAUUUUAAAUAUAUGUCGACAUUCAUAACAUUUCCCACCCAAAUGUCACUUUACAAACUAAAAGUUGGUAUGUUGAGGCAGCUUGGCUGUCAAAUGCCAAUUUUGAUUUCAGCAACAAUCACGACCAAACCAAGGAUGAAAUUACCAAUUCAUAAUUAGACAAAUAAACAUAAGACUUUUUUUCAUCACUGGCUGAAAUAAAAUAGCAAACUAUCUUAGCACCCAUGCCCAAGGAACAAUGACAACCUAUUCUGCAAAGUUUAUUCUUUGUGAAAUGUGUGUAAUAAUAAUACUGCUAUUUCUGAUGCUACAAACAACCCUGGGGCAAAGUUGCUAUUCUCAGCUAUGCUUAAAUACCACAUCAGUGAGGGUAAGCGUUGAAAGCAACUUGACCACCCCCCCUCUGCAUUCUUCAUAAAUAAUUCACUAUUUCCCCUUUAGCAAACCUGAGUUAACUUUGAUAAACCAUAAUGAUCCAUGGUACUCUAUUAAGUACACUUACAGUGAAGUCAUUCUGAUUGAUUUAGGCGGUAAUAGAUACAGGUUUGUUAAGAAUGGUCUGAAAUAGCAUCUGACAAAAAACCAAAAUAUAAGAGUAACACUACAAAUGAAUGACAAACUACGAAAUGUCAACUUUCAAACAGCAAAACAAGAUAAAAUGCUGUACUUUGUCUCUUUGUAACUGCCCAACACACAUAACACAAGUAACAGACUAUGCAGCUUAGGAUUUGUUAUUCCUUGGGCUUGAGGCUUUGGGGAUUGCUACACUAUCUAGUUUUAAGGCUCACUCAAGGAUCACUCGAAUAUCAUAUUACAUACACUAGGCACAGUGUGUUCACACUGGUUCAGUUUUCAAAAGUUGGAUUAUCAUGCUGCCACUAUUCUCUGGUUUGAGAAACUGCUCUACCUCUGGAACUGAAGUUCCAAUUAGAGAUUGCAUGUUUACUUUCACUUUGUGAUCUUAUUAGCGUCAAGGAGUACUGCCCAGCAAGGGGGCAUCAUCAUUAUUUUUUGGUGGGCCAUUUUCAACAGAACCUUGUGAGACUUCAUCCACGCAUUUAGGUUCAAAGAAGUCAUUCACUCCUCCAUUUGAGCUGUGACACCUUUUGAUGACGAAGUUCCAUCUAUCUAUUAAAAAAAAAAAAAAAAACGAGUGAAUCUGAACAUCGAAGAGUGAGCCUUAACACAUGUUCUGAAUGCAUUUGAACCUAGUGAAGGACCCUUCCGUAGGAUUGUACCGUGACGUGGUGGAAGGGCUUGCGUGCCUUGUAAAACUCAGUGGCUUUACACCACCGGUGCCUUAACUAGCGACUCCAGUUGAAGAGAAAGACCGGAAGACCUUUGAGUGCUUUGAAAAAUGUUUACUUUGUGUCAAAGGACACUGAUGGCGUUACCAGUUAGACCUCUUUUCUGGCAACACUGAAAUACAGUGAAGCAGUGAUUAACCUAAUUAAUCUUACCCGGUCGCCUCAUGAGUUAAGAUUCUUCGAAAGCACCAUUGGGGACACCUAAGGUGGCGAGGUCCUUUGUUCAUAGGUCAGACUAAAACAAUCCUCAUCUUACCUGGAAAAGGGAAGAAAAAUAUUCCAUGUUCAUUUCUUUAAAGGUUAGGAAAACAAUCCAAUAUUGUAUUUUAUUUUAUAUAUAAUGUAAGAAGUAGAUAGAUAUAUUUUUUUGCACUUCGUCUGAAAUCAAAGGAAAAAACAAACGUUAUAUAGUUGUCUCUCUCGUGCCAAUACAUUAUAUUCUGUUAGUUGUAAGGACAAGACAACGAAAGUAUAAAUUCAGAUAUAUAUUCAAUAUAACUUAGAAGUUAAACAACAUUUUCCAAACUGGUCACGAGACGAGAAAACUGCAUGAAAGGGUUUGUAAUGGGUAUUUGAAAAAUCGACUUGUGUACGAUUUAAUUUGAGAAAUCUGUUCAGUGUGCUGAAUUCUAGUUGUAAGCAUUGAUCGUGGCUACCUCAUAAUCAAACAAACGUACUAUAUUAUUACGCUACUUGGCAACUAUCUGUGAUAUUAGGCUGUGGUAUCCUUCCGCAAGACAGUGAUAUUAUGCUGUGGUAUCCCUCCACAUCAGACCGCGUCUGUGAUAUCACUGUGAUCUCAGCUUCGCGUGCUCCAAGAUUAAGUAAAACACUUAUUCUAGGAUUCGUUUUAGUAUCAUCCACUUGUAUGGCUGUUUGCAUACGGCCUAGUGUAAUAGAAUGUGAUGUAUGUAAUAUAUUGUAAUUUAAUGCUAUGUUUUCCACUGUUAGUACUUCAUGUAGACAGUGCUUAGGCGCAAAAGCCAUUUUCUGUGAUAACAAGUGUUCCGUAAUUUGUAAUUACUAGUCCUUCAAAUGAUUGAUUACAAAGCUUUCGUUACUGUAAACGAAUUUGAACCUUUCAAAAUGAAAUGUAUUUAUUAUUGGGAUUAUGUAGAAAGUGUAAGUACAGUUAUACAUUAUUAUUUUUUUUACUCUAGCAGGAAAAAAUAUAUUAAUUUUCAUCAAAGGUGCUAAAUAUCAGUCUGUAUAUAUAUAUGCCAGCAAAUAGAUGUACAAAACGCAACUUGUGUACAAAAAGAUAUCACAGAAUAUGUUGUUAUUUUCAUUCACCAAUACAUGCUAAGAUUAUUAUUAUUUAUUUAUUUUUAUUACAGGUCGACUUUAUAUAUGCUGUAUAUUUUAUACAAGAUUAGCUUUUUUUGGUGCAAUAAACAAUUGAGAUUGACUGUCAAUGUGUCUAGCUAUAAAAGAAAAACGAAGCCA